rnacentral:rRNA from 1 species
AUUUAUCGCCGUAGGAUGGGACUGCGGCCUAUCAGUUUGUUGGUGAGGUAAUGGCCCACCAAGACUAUUACAGGUACGGGCUCUGAGAGGAGUAGCCCGGAGAUGGGUACUGAGACACGGACCCAGGCCCUAUGGGGCGCAGCAGGCGAGAAAACUUUGCAAUGUGCGAAAGCACGACAAGGUUAAUCCGAGUGGUUUCUGCUAAAGAAACCUUUUGUUAGUCCUAGAAACACUAUUGAAUAAGGGGUGGGCAAGUUCUGGUGUCAGCCGCCGCGGUAAAACCAGCACCUCAAGUGGUCAGGAUGAUUAUUGGGCCUAAAGCAUCCGUAGCUCGUUUUGUAAGUUUUCGGUUAAAUCCAUGCGCUUAACGUAUGGGCUGCCGGGAAUACUGCAUAACUAGGAAGUGGGAGAGGUAGACGGUACUCGGUAGGAAGGGGUAAAAUCCUUUGAUCUAUUGAUGACCACCUGUGGCGAAGGCGGUCUACCAGAACACGUUCGACGGUGAGGGAUGAAAGCUGGGGGAGCAAACCGGAUUAGAUACCCGGGUAGUCCCAGCUGUAAACUAUGCAAACUCAGUGAUGCAUUGGCUUGUGGCCAAUGCAGUGCUGCAGGGAAGCCGUUAAGUUUGCCGCCUGGGAAGUACGUACGCAAGUAUGAAACUUAAAGGAAUUGGCGGGGGAGCACCACAAGGGGUGAAGCCU